rnacentral:rRNA from 1 species
UACGUAGGGUGCGAGCGUUAAUCGGAAUUACUGGGCGUAAAGCGUGCGCAGGCGGUUUCGUAAGCUGGAGGUGAAAUCCCCGGGCUUAACCUGGGAAUGGCCUUCAGGACUGCGAGGCUAGAGUGCGGCAGAGGGAGGUGGAAUUCCACGUGUAGCAGUGAAAUGCGUAGAGAUGUGGAGGAACACCGAUGGCGAAGGCAGCCUCCUGGGCCAGCACUGACGCUCAUGCACGAAAGCGUGGGGAGCAAACAGGG